rnacentral:rRNA from 1 species
AUGCAAUUUUAUUCUGACUCUUUCUCCCUCUGUUCCUCUCUGCUCUGCUCUCUGACUCGAACUGCAACAAUGGCUGCCCCGACCUCUGCGAUCGGGUUUGAGGGCUACGAGAAGCGCCUCGAGAUCACCUUCUCCGAGGCAUCAAUCUUUGCCGACCCUCAUGGUCGUGGCCUGCGCGCCCUCUCCAGGGCCCAGAUUGACUCUGUUCUUGAUCUUGCACGGUGCACCAUUGUGUCCGAGCUCUCCAACAAGGACUUCGACUCCUAUGUGCUAUCUGAGUCGAGCCUGUUCAUCUACUCUCAGAAGAUUGUGAUCAAGACCUGUGGGACUACCAUGCUCCUGCUCACCAUUCCUAGGAUUCUUGAGCUUGCUGAAGAGCUGUGCAUGCCGCUUGCUGCCGUGAAGUACUCUCGUGGGAUGUUCAUCUUCCCCGGCGCACAGCCUGCUCCCCACAGGAGCUUCUCUGAGGAGGUUGAUGUCCUGAACCGCUACUUCGGCCACCUGAAGUCUGGCGGCAAUGCUUAUGUGAUCGGAGACCCAGCGAAGCCUGGCCAGAAGUGGCACAUCUACUAUGCCACCGAGCAACCUGAGCAGCCCAUGGUCACCCUGGAGAUGUGCAUGACUGGGCUGGACAAGAAGAAGGCCUCUGUCUUCUUCAAGACUCAAGCUGAUAGCCACGUUUCCUGCGCCAAGGAGAUGACCAAGCUCUCUGGUAUCUCCGACAUCAUUCCCGAGAUGGAGGUCUGUGACUUCGACUUCGAGCCCUGCGGCUACUCCAUGAACGCCAUCAACGGAUCUGCCGUCUCCACCAUCCAUGUGACCCCCGAGGACGGCUUCAGCUAUGCGAGCUACGAGGUCAUGGGCAUGGACGCCUCCGCCCUGGCCUACGGCGACAUCGUCAAGAGGGUCCUCCGGUGCUUUGGCCCUUCAGAGUUCUCUGCGGCGGUCACCAUCUUUGGUGGCCGCGGCCACGCCGCCACCUGGGGCAAGAAGCUCGACGCCGAGGCAUACGACUGCAACAACGUUGUGGAGCAGGAGCUCCCCUGUGGAGGCGUCCUCAUCUACCAGAGCUUUACCGUGAACGAAGAGGUUGCUGUCUCUGCCGGGUCGCCCAGGUCCGUCUUCCACUGCUUCGAGGCCGAGAGUGUGCACAGCCACCCUCUGGUCAAGGAAGGCAAGCUCGCCAACCUCCUCGCAUGGCGGGCGGAGGAGGAUUCUCUGGAAGAGGGCGCGGUGCUGUGCGAGUGA